rnacentral:rRNA from 1 species
AUGAACGCUGGCGGCGUGCCUAAUACCUGCAAGUCGAGCGAACAGACGAGGAGCUUGCUCCUCUGACGUUAGCGGCGGACGGGUGAGUAACACGUGGAUAACCUACCUAUAAGACUGGGAUAACUUCGGGAAACCGGAGCUAAUACCGGAUAACAUGUUGAACCGCAUGGUUUAACAGUGAAAGACGGUCUUGCUGUCACUUAUAGAUGGAUCCGCGCCGCAUUAGCUAGUUGGUAAGGUAACGGCUUACCAAGGCAACGAUGCGUAGCCGACCUGAGAGGGUGAUCGGCCACACUGGAACUGAGACACGGUCCAGACUCCUACGGGAGGCAGCAGUAGGGAAUCUUCCGCAAUGGGCGAAAGCCUGACGGAGCAACGCCGCGUGAGUGAAGAAGGUCUUCGGAUCGUAAAACUCUGUUAUUAGGGAAGAACAAAUGUGUAAGUAACUAUGCACGUCUUGACGGUACCUAAUCAGAAAGCCACGGCUAACUACGUG